GCCCAAAUAGCUUGGUCAGUAGAGCAUGAGACUCUUAAUCUCAGGGUUGUGGGUUCAUGCCCCUGUUGGGCA
rnacentral:tRNA from 1 species